GAGUCUCACAAAUGAGGACCCUAAAACAGAUCUAGAAACGAUCACAAGGAAUAAUGCCUUGUGGACUAGGAGCAACUGGGCAUUUCUGAAUCAACCUCCUGUGAUAUUGACAGAAGCUCCUUCCUACAAAUAUGCAUCACAUUACAAUAUUAC